GUGAGGGGCAGCGGGGGACUGGCAAAAUACGGGAGCCUCCCGCUAAAUGCGGGAGGGUUGGCAAGUCUGUUUAAGUAUCUAAGGUUCUGUCAAGGAUUAGGACCUCGACCUUUUCCACACAUAUCUGUGAAAGACAGCUGAGGGGAUUGUGGAUCCUCGCUUUGUGGGCUGGCCAAAAUGGCUUGUGGUGGCAGGGCCGACACUGUGGAGAUGCGCCGUUGGGGUGGUGAGGAUGCUGCUGGUGAUUCAGCUUCAAGACGGCGUCUCUUGGUUGGCCUCCUAUGUUAAGUAUCCGAGCCCUGUGAUGUGCGCCUUAGUGGAGGAGGGUUUGCUGAAGAAGAACCUAUGUGAUAAGAUAAACAUUAACAUUCUGCUUUUCUAUGUGUUUUCAGAAUGUGUUUACACUAAAAGCUUACCUGCAUUGCCAGCAUCUGCAUCUCUUGGCAGUGUGGGAUGUGGCCUGGCUGUGCUGCUUCUCUUUCGUACUGUAGAAAUAUGAAGAAUGUCCUUAUGAACAUACUAUUAUGUUUAUAUGUUUAUGCAAAUUCCUUAUUGUGAUGUAAACAUAUGUGGAACCAGAUGAGAAGUAAACUAAACUAUGCUUAUG